AGUGCAAGGUCCCGAGUUUGAUCCCCGGUACAAAAGGAAAAAAAAUGGAGUGAUGUAUAAAGCUCAGAGCACACAAGGCGGGGAUGGGGUCACAUUAAGGAGUGUGGGCUUCUUUUUCCUUAAAUGUAAUGAGAGGUCAUGGACUUAUUUUAAAAUAGGUGAGUAGUAUAACCUGCUUAGUAUAAAACAUCAUUCCCGUCACUGUGUGAAGAAUUUCUGGCAAGGGCAGUAAGAUGGCAGGGAGCAUCCUUAGGAGACUACUAGGGUCACCCAGUCUAACAAUGAUGGUGGUUUGGGAGAGAAGUGAAUGGUUAGGAGAUAUAUUUUGGGGUAAAAUUCUUAGAAUGCAGUAAUGGGUUCUUUUAGGGUUGUAAGAGAGAGAGGUGUGAGAAGAAUGAGAAGUACAGAAUAAUCAUUUAGGAAAGUGAUUAACUGAGUUUAUUAGAAGUACACAAUUAGGUUGCCAAGUGAAGUCUGUGUUGGAGAUAUUGACUUUUCAACUAUACCAGUCAGCUCAGCUGUGUGUAUUCUCCAGCUGGAGCAGAUGGUUGGGUUCAUGGAGGGCUGGAGUUUGGUAUGUUUGGCAGAAGGGACAGAAAGAAACAAGGUAAUUGCUAUACUGUUUACAAAGGAGUUAUAGGAAGGACAGUAUGUGCCUAAAUAAAGGGAGAUGGAAAGCAAAUGGGGCUGAUGGGCAUGGGGUUGUGCCUUGGAAGCCUUAACAAGAUGGAAGAUGGUGGAUGUGCUUGAGUCACAUAACUUUGAAAAUGUCUGAUUUUGUGAUUUUCAUAGGCUGCUGAGGUGGAGAGUUCAAUGCACUAACAGCUUUGUAUUUUCGGUGGGUCAUUCAAGAUGUGUUAAUGUUGCCUCAGAUGAUGACAGGAGUUACGGCAGACUGGAAGACUGCCAACCAGGUGCUGAAAACUGAAACAAAUGAAGAGAGGUGAGAGCUGAUGACAGCAGUAAGGAGGAGGAAGGUGUGAUUCAGCUGAAUGGUAUGAGACUUGAGGGACAGGGAAUAUUUACAGGAAGAAACAGAUUACAUCUCUGAAAGGAGGCUAAAAGUGACCUGACUACCAAACCUGAGGUGAGUGAUGGGAGUAAUAAGUAGGUUGGGCUGAAGGCUGACAGGAUGAGGGAUUUCUGGAGAGGAUUGAUGUCUGGCAGAGAAUUUACUCCUGAAGGGCCUUAGGAAGAAGGUGGGUAUUUAGUCUAACACUAAAGUCUCAAAGUUUUGCUUUUUUAAAAAAGAUUUUAACAACAAAUACAGUAACUUUUGGAAGCAUUUUCUAUUUGUAAAGCUGUGUUUUCAUUUAAAAAUUGGUAAUAAUUGUAUGCAGCAAAUUCAUGAAUACAGGGUUUCUGUUGGGGAUGAGGAAGUUUUGGGACUGGACAGCGGUAAUGACUGCCCAACAUGGUGCAUGCAUUCAGUGGCAUUGGAUUGCAUGCUGAAAAGUGGUUAAGAGGGUCCUUUAGUCUGUUUAACCUGCUCUAACAAAAUACGUGGACUGGGUGGUCUAUAAACAAUAGACAUUCAUUUUUCACUGUGCUGAAGACUGGGAAGUCUGGAAUGAAGGCACCAGCAGAUUCGGGGUCUGGUGAGGACCCAUUUCCUGCUUUGUAGAUGGCGCCUCGUCAUUGUGUCCUCACCUGAAGGAAGUAUUAAGGGAACGGUCUAGGCUCUUAUUUAUUUAUGUAUUUAUUUACUUAGCGCAUAUUAGUAAUACAGAGUGAUGCGUUUUCUUUUGGUAUACUGGUACACGCGUAUAACAUACUUUGAUUAUUUUCACACCCCUCUCUGUACUCUUACCCCAUUCCUCCCUCCUCCCAACUCUCUUUCUCUCUCCAACACAGUGUCUGUUUUAUGAGGUCACUAUUCCCAUUCAUGAGGGCUCCCCUCUUAUGACUUAAUUACUUUCCAAAGUCCCUACCUCCUCACUCAUCACUUUGGUGAUUUGGUUUCAAGAUAUGAAGGGGGGGAUGAGAGGAGAUCAACAUUUAGACCCUAACAAAUGGGAAAAGGGAAAAAAUCCCUUUUAAAAAACUAGACAUGCCAGAUGUCGUGAUGCAUCCCUGCAAUUCCAUCAUGCUGGGAGGCAGAAACAGGAGGAUGCUGGAGCCUAGGACAGUCACCCUUCUACAGAGCGGGUGCCUCCUGCCAUUUCCCACUCUUCGGAGCCACCCUGCUGCUUUCCCUGUUGUUUGUCUUCUCAGAAUUAGUCCAUGGGUGAAAUAAUUGUGUAACCAGGUCUCUACAAAGAUCAGAAAAUGACCGACUCAAUAGGGGCUUGCAUUUCAAGAAAAGUGGGAGAAAACACAUUUCUUAGUGGGUGUGAAGCUGCAUAUUUAAUGUGUGAAUAAAAUGUCCCAAGAAUACAGUCUGGCCCGCUGCAGUCAUUUUCGUCACCUGCCCACCUCUUGAGGGCUUCCUUGAUAUAUAUAAACUGUUUAUUAUUUUGAAUUUUAAAUAAUUUGUGUAAAAUUGAAACCUAACCAAAAUUGAAGCCCACAGAAAAUCCCUAACUUUCAUCAAGCUGAGAAUACCCUGACUUUGAGCCUUUGGGAUAACAAUGUGGGGUAUUAAUUUAUUGAUUGAUUAAAUUAUUAUUCUCAGUAUUUGUUCAUGUACCAAACAAGGUACAUUUUUUCUCUGUGUAUGUGAAAGGGAUCACGUAGAUCUGUCUUAUUCAUGGGCACUUAAAUGUACUGCUUGUGCCAAGUCCAUCAGUAGAGAUGGGAACAUUAAAUCAUUGUGUGUCAACAGCACCGUGCAAAAGAAAAAGAUUCUGGUACACAGAAUGGGCACAUCCUGUCACCAGAAAAGAGCGCUGGCUUCUAAAGUGAAAAGAGAGUAAACACAAGCUAUUUUGGCACUGAUUAAUUCUCACUGAAAAUAUCCAAUACUUGUAAACUCCAAGAACUAAAAUGUAGCUCUUUACCUGUUGGCUGAACUUGCCUUUGGCUAUCUUCACUUAGUAAUAAAAGCACAUUGAAUUACCAUACCACUGAAUGAGAGUCACAAACAACACUUACAUGAAAAUAUCUAAUUUCUAGUUAUAAAUCACAGAUGGUUCAGGAUUUGUUGACCACAGUGCCCUGCUGCUGCCCUGAGACAUCAAGAAAUACACCCAUGAGCCAGGCCAAAUCAUAUAUAAGCAUAGAGGGUACAUUUGUUUUCUAAGGCUGCUUAACAAAAUACCACAAACUGGGUGGCUUUAAACAACAGAGAUCUAUCCUUUUAUAGUCCUGGACAUUAAAACAUCUGAAAGCCUUUAUUUAUA